AACGAACACUGGCGGCAGGCCUAACACAUGCAAGUCGAGCGCCCCGCAAGGGGAGCGGCGGACGGGUGAGUAACGCGUGGGAAUAUGCCCUUUGCUACGGAAUAGUCUCGGGAAACUGGGGGUAAUACCGUAUACGCCCUUUGGGGGAAAGAUUUAUCGGCGAAGGAUUAGCCCGCGUUGGAUUAGGUAGUUGGUGGGGUAAUGGCCUACCAAGCCGACGAUCCAUAGCUGGUUUGAGAGGAUGAUCAGCCACACUGGGACUGAGACACGGCCCAGACUCCUACGGGAGGCAGCAGUGGGGAAUCUUAGACAAUGGGGGCAACCCUGAUCUAGCCAUGCCGCGUGAGUGAUGAAGGCCUUAGGGUUGUAAAGCUCUUUCAGCUGGGAAGAUAAUGACGGUACCAGCAGAAGAAGCCCCGGCUAACUCCGUG
rnacentral:rRNA from 1 species